rfam:Strongyloides venezuelensis genome assembly, scaffold: SVE_scaffold0000108
UAUACGGCCCUAUUUAGGGCCACCUAUUAUUAAAAAUAAAUUAUUU